GCUGGGCACGGUGGCGCCUGCCUGUAAUCCCAGCUACUUGGGAGGCUGAGGCAGGAGAAUUGCCUGAACCCAGGAGGCGGAGGUUGCGAUGAGCCGAGAUCGUGCCAUUGCACUCCAGCCUGGGUAACAAGAGCGAAACUCUGUCUCAAUCAAUCAAUCAAUCAAUCAAUAAAUAUGCAGUCUCGCUCUGUCACCCAGGCUGGAGGGCAGGGGCAUGAUCUCCGCUCACUGCAACUUUUGCCCCCUGGGUUCAAGUGAUUCUCCUGCCUCAG
rnacentral:sRNA from 1 species